AGUGAACGCUGGCGGUAGGCCUAACACAUGCAAGUCGAACGGCAGCACAGUAAGAGCUUGCUCUUACGGGUGGCGAGUGGCGGACGGGUGAGGAAUACAUCGGAAUCUACUUUUUCGUGGGGGAUAACGUAGGGAAACUUACGCUAAUACCGCAUACGACCUACGGGUGAAAGCAGGGGAUCUUCGGACCUUGCGCGAUUGAAUGAGCCGAUGUCGGAUUAGCUAGUUGGCGGGGUAAAGGCCCACCAAGGCGACGAUCCGUAGCUGGUCUGAGAGGAUGAGCAGCCACACUGGAACUGAGACACGUUCCAGACUCCUACGGGAGGCAGCAGUGGGGAAUAUUGGACAAUGGGCGCAAGCCUGAUCCAGCCAUACCGCGUGGGUGAAGAAGGCCUUCGGGUUGUAAAGCCCUUUUGUUGGGAAAGAAAAGCAGCAGGUUAAUACCCCGCUGUUCUGACGGUACCCAAAGAAUAAGCACCGGCUAACUUCGUG
rnacentral:rRNA from 1 species